rnacentral:rRNA from 1 species
UGACCUGCCCUGUACUUCGGGAUAAGCCUGGGRAACUGGGUCUAAUACCGGAUAUGACCUUCCCCUGCAUGGGGGUUGGUGGAAAGCUUUUGCGGUACAGGAUGGGCCCGCGGCCUAUCAGCUUGUUGGUGGGGUAAUGGCCUACCAAGGCGACGACGGGUAGCCGGCCUGAGAGGGCGACCGGCCACACUGGGACUGAGACACGGCCCAGACUCCUACGGGAGGCAGCAGUGGGGAAUAUUGCACAAUGGGCGGAAGCCUGAUGCAGCGACGCCGCGUGAGGGAUGACGGCCUUCGGGUUGUAAACCUCUUUCAGUAGGGACGAAGCGCAAGUGACGGUACCUACAGAAGAAGCACCGGCCAACUACGUGCCAGCAGCCGCGGUAAUACGUAGGGUGCGAGCGUUGUCCGGAUUUACUGGGCGUAAAGAGCUCGUAGGCGGUUUGUCACGUCGUCUGUGAAAACCCGAGGCUUAACCUCGGGCCUGCAGGCGAUACGGGCAGACUUGAGUACUGUAGGGGAGACUGGAAUUCCUGGUGUAGCGGUGGAAUGCGCAGAUAUCAGGAGGAACACCGGUGGCGAAGGCGGGUCUCUGGGCAGUAACUGACGCUGAGGAGCGAAAGCGUGGGUAGCGAACAGGAUUAGAUACCCUGGUAGUCCACGCCGUAAACGGUGGGUACUMGUGUGGGUUUCCUUCCACGGGAUCCGUGCCG